UGAGUACAAACUUCACCUUACAAAUUGGUUUUAUGGGUACGCAUCUUUCUCGUUUAUUCAACUUGUCCAUCUUUACAUAGUAUAGAACCAUUUGAACACCAACAACCUUCCUCUCAAACAUAAAUUCCUACUCAAACAAAAAAUUUCUUAACUACAAAUACUUGUGACUCGUUAACUAUAACAAGGAACGUUUUUCUUAAAUUCCUAUUAAGAAAACUUUCAAUAAAAGUUAUCUAUAAGUCUAUGUAACUUCAUAUCGUAUUUAUUUGUGUUAGUGAAAAAACUAUUAAGAUAUUUUAAUCAAGUUUGGAUCAAUUUAUCUUCUUUUUUUUUUCAUUCACAACAACAAAGAGUGUGUAUAUAUAGAGAGGGGUUUACUUAAAAUAUAAAGAUUAAACUGUAAAAAAACAAAUCAAACAUAUUCACACAGAAGAUUCUCUCAAUCUCAUAAUAUACAAUUUUCUACUUAAUUUCUUUUGCUAUCUUAUACUAUACUGUGUUUUCAAAAUAGAUUGAUGUUAUUUUUUUUUAAUAUAUUUUAAAAUAUUAAAUUAAUAUAUUUUGAAAACGUAACAGAGAAACAACACAUAAAAAAAUCAACAAAGAAUCUAAAUUCAAGAAUAUCUCAAUAUCAUAAUAAUUAGUUCAUAACUCGGUGAUAUCAGAUCUGUAGAUAUGUAUCUUUUUCUUCUGCAUUUAUAAGAACUUCUUCAAGAAGUUAGUGAGACAAUUACCUUCACCAUUUCACAAUAUUAUUCUGUUAGUAAAAGAAAAGGAAAAAAAAAAAAGGCAAGAGACUUCGGAAGCAGAAAAAACUUUGAUAUUCUAUGUGGUAUUUGGUAACAUUAACUAAUUGUUUGCAAGCUCUACAUGUGUUCGACUUUCAUUAGACCGAUUGACAAUUCUGUUUUACAGCUUUACUAAUUGUGAGCUGCGUUCAAUGGUCAUCAUUGAUAGAGGUAUGAUUGGAUCAAGUGAAUCAACAACUAACUUUCCUGGCAAGAUUCCUCGUGGCCCUGAUGUUCCCAGUGAAGCUGCAGACUAAACAUUCUGGGAUUAGGCGGAACAAACUGGAAUUUUCAUUAGUAUAAUAUGAUUCCUUCUUACUUGCAUUUACUAGCAAGGAUUCAAUUUUUUGUUUGACCGGAACAAACUCAAUCAUAUGACCAUUUUCAAAAUUCCUUUUUCCGGGCAUAAAACAUUGGUAAAGUUAGGUUAUAGAUUUGAAGAUGAUAAGCAGGAUGUGAGACAGGGUUUUUCCGAUU